CAAGCCGUUGUUCGGAAUUACUGGGCGUAAAGGCGUUGACGCAGGCGGUAAUGUAAAGACAGUUGUGAAAAUCCCCCGGGCUCAACCGUGGGAACUGGCAUCUGUGGACUGCAUUGCUGGAGUACGGGCAGAGGGGGAUGGAAAUUCCGCGUGUAGCAGUGAAAUGCGUAGAUAUGCGGAGGAACACCGAUGACGAAGGCAAUCCCCGUGGGCCUGUACUGACGCUCAUGCACGAAAGCGGUGGGAGCAAACAGG
rnacentral:rRNA from 1 species